rnacentral:rRNA from 1 species
GAUCGAAUUAUGGUCUUCAGGCCCGACCUCCCAACCCUAUGUUUAUUGAACCUCUUGUUGCUUCGGCGGGCCCGUCUCACGACCGCCGGAGGACCGCUGCGAGGCGUCCUCUGGCCCGCGUCCGCCGAUAGCCAACCACUUAACACUCUGAAUAAAUCGUGUCAUUAUGUCUAAGUCUAUGAUUAAAUUAAAGCAAAACUUUCAACAACGGAUCUCUUGGUUCUGGCAUCGAUGAAGAACGCAGCGAAAUGCGAUAAGUAAUGCGAAUUGCAGAAUUCCAGUGAGUCAUCGAAUCUUUGAACGCACAUUGCGCCCUUUGGUAUUCCGAAGGGCAUGCCUGUUCGAGCGUCAUUAUCACCCCUCAAGCCCCGUGCUUGGUGUUGGACGGCCGGUCGAGCGAUCGACCCCUCCUAAAGACAAUGACGGCGGCCUGUGGUUCCCCCGGUACUCUGAGCUUUUCACGGAGCACGUAUCGGACAAGGGGCACCCGGGACCCGGUCCUCUCCUUUCACAAGGAAACUUCUAUGGUUGACCUCGGAUCAGGUAGGAAUACGCGCUGAACUUAAGCAUAUCAAUAGCCGGGAGGAAA